GCCAGAUGUGGAGGUGCAUGCCUAUAAUCCCAGAGACUGGGGGAGGCUGCAGCUGGUGGACCUUUUAAGUUCAGGAGUUCUGAGCUUCACUGGGUUGUGCCAGUCUGGUGCCCUCACAAAGUCUGGCACCAGUAUGGGGAACCUUGUUGAGCAGGGGCCACCAAGCUGCCUAAUGAGGGGCAAACUGGCCCAUAGCUGAAAGGGAGCAGGUCCAAACUCCUGUGCCUAUCUGCAAUGGGACCAGGCCUGUGAGUGGCCCUUGCAUUUCUAGUCUGGGUAAAAUAGGAAGGCCCAGACUUU
ensembl:misc_RNA Metazoa_SRP Metazoan signal recognition particle RNA